rnacentral:lncRNA from 1 species
UUAAAUUCUCCCCUGUUUCAGGGUUCGACUGCUCUGACCUCUGUGUAUUACGAAUAAGAUAUCUCCUUGUACAGAGUUUCAAUGACUAUAACGUUUGUUUCUAAUAAAACUAGACUCAAUAAGAAAUCUGUACAUAUAAAUCAUGACUUAUAAUUAUCUUUGAACAAUUUAUGGUGAAUUUCCAAAGUCAUAACAGGGGAUCCAGAAAUCGCUCUGAACCUGUUUCACAAAAAUUUAAACAUCUCAUAAAAUAUAACUCAUAUACCUGUUUUGUUCCAUCCAUAUGAAAAUAGAUUCAUAAUUCUUCAAUUCCAUAUUUUAUUCAUCAUCUAAUUAUAUCUCUACUAUUUUUAAUGAUUUUUCAAACUCACAUCACUGUUUCUGUCUGAAUCUAUUUUAUGGUAAAUUUUACCUAUUUCAUGGUUUCCAUGGAUUAGCUAGCAAUUUAGCAUACAUAACACCAAAUAUGAUCAUGAUUAGCCAUUCCAAUGGCUAAUCAUUACCAAGAAUUUCCAUACCACUCAAUAACCAUAUCAUAAAACCAUAUACACAAAAUGAUUAUAAUGCUAUACAUGCCAUACUCAAAAUAUACAAGCCAUUAUGCCAAGAUGGUAUACGGAUAGUGUGAGUGUGCCUCCGACCGUUCCCAAUUUCCGAGCUGGCUUGUCAACACUACAAGGAAUGAAAAGGAGGGAGUAAGCAUAAAUGCUUAGUAAGUUCACAUGCAAAUAGCAAGUAACAUAACUAUAUAAGCAAACAUAAAACAUCAUUUGCAUAAUCAUCACCGAGACAUUCAUAUCACAUUUUCAUUUAUCAUUUUACCAUAUUGUUGUUAUAUCGAGUUUUCAAUGCGAGGGUUAAGUACAUACCUGUUCAAAGUAUUCAUUUCACAACACUUACCAAUACGUCCCUUUCAUCUCGAGUAUUCCUCCGCUUGAGUAGAAUUUUACCCGUUGAACACAUCGGAAUAUAAUUCGGAUACAUGGAAAGUUUGCACAUAAGUGCUACAUAUGUAGCCAAGCUACCAUGUAACCCGCCCAUAAGUGAACUCAGACUCAACUCAACGAGCUCGGAUGCCUAGUUACAUCUCUCGAACUCGGACUCAACUCAACGAGUUCGGACAUUCGUAUCCAUAAGUGAACUCGGACUCAGCUCAACGAGUUCGGAUGCUCAACCAUCCUAGUGAUAUGUCACUUGUAUCCUAAUCCAUUCCUAAGGUUCAACGGGACCUUUUUCCCAAUCAUGUGUCUCAACCAUCUUCUACGGAAUGCCGUUACCGAUACUCGGUAGUAUUUCACAUUUUCUAAGUAUAUCACAUAAUUUGACAUAUUAACAAACAAUUAUCACAGUAUAAUAUUUCAUAAUAAUUAUCAUAUCAUUUAAAUAAUAUUAAAACAUUUAAAAUAAUAACUAUGUUACCAACAUUUACAUAUGAACUUACCUCGUAUGCGAAAAUGGCUACUUUUACCAUUUCGUCCACAACUUGGUAUUUUCCCCAUUUUAGUCCGAAUUUCAGUUUUCCUUGCUCUAUCAUUUAAAAUAUAGUCUAAUUAGGACUCACAUUAUACAAAUUGACCCAAAAUCAUAUUUUUCCAAAAUUACAGUAUUGCCCCUAAACUUUUGCAUAUUUACACUUUUGCCCCAAAGCUCGUAAAUUAAACUUCAGCCUAUUUUCUUAUGUUUUAUGACAUUCUGAUCAUUUUUACCUUCUAUGGUAACAUCAAAUUCUCACUCUAACAUGUACUUAUGACUAUUAGGUAUUUUUACCGAUUAAGCCCUUUUGCUCAUUUUCACUUAAAACCGAGUAGUACAAGUUGUCUAACAUAAUUUAAAACCUCAUAUUCUAUCAUAAAACACCAAAAUACACAAAUUUCACCUAUGGGUAUUUUUCCAAAUAUGAACCCUAGGUUGAAUUAUUGCUAGCAUAAGCUUAAUCGAGCUACCGGGAUUCCAAAAACGUAAAAAUCAUUAAAAACGAGGCUAGAACGGACUUACAAUCGAGCUUGGAGGCUUUAAAAACCCUAUCCAUGGUUUCUCCUUGCUAUAUUCGGCCAUGGGGUUGAAGAUGAGCAAAAUUGGCUUUUAAUUUUGUAUUUUAAUUCAUUUUGCCCCUAAAUGACCAAAAUGCCCUUACUACUAAACUUUCCAAAAAUUCAAUCCAUGUCUAAUUUUUGUCCAUAGACUUAGAAAUUGGUAAAAUUUCUAUUUAAGACCUCCUAAUUAAUAUUUCAAAACAAUUUCAUACUAGAAACUUCUAGAAUGCAAGUUUUACAAAUUAUUCGAUUUAGUCCCUAAUUUCAAUUUAAGCACUUUAUGCAUAAAAUUUCUUCACAAAAUUUUCACACAAUCAUGCAAUCAUAUCAUAGACCUCAAAAUAAUCAUAAAAUAAUUAUUUCUAUCUCGGAUUUUGUGGUCACGAAACCACUAUUCCGACUAGGCCUAAAAUCAGGAUAUUACAACUUUCCCCCCUUUAGGGAUUUUCGUCCCCGAAAAUCUUACCAGAAAAGUGGUCUUCACUUUUAAUUUCAUAUUCGAUGCCGAAGAACUUUCACUUAGGCUGUACCUCCAAUACAUCUCUUUAAUUUCUCAUAUGAUCUGAAAGCUUACAGUCCCAACUCUCAACUGUUCUUAAAUUUUCAACCCUUCUUAGUUUCCCAUGAUAUCAUGACAUAAAACUCGGAUCUUAACUUAAUUAAUGGAGACCGAAAUUCCAAAAAAUCCAACAAUCAAAGAGACCUAAAAUUCCAUGAAUCUGAUGAGUAGGAAUUCAUUCAAUACAAAUAUGAUUUAUAGAUCUCGCUAAACAUUUAACAAUAGGAUACAUCACAUUUUCCUCUUUCUGCUAUGGAAUUAAUUCUGAUAUGGCCUCAGGAAUAAUCCUUCUCAUUUCCAUCCCAAUACCAACACUGACAAGGAUAAUUUUGAUAGAUUCCAAUGCUCGACUUUAACCCCUUUAACAACUCCGAUUUUAUGUAACAUCGAAAGCUCUAAACUAUCACAUUACCUCAUUGUCUUGAAACACAUCACAAUUCAUACAAUGGUACAUUGCUGAAAGUCAGGAAGUUUUUACUCAAUGUAGACUAGUCUAGUUCAGACGCUUCAGUUACCAAUAUUCUCAUCUAUCCAAACUUUGUCAACAUAUAAUAAACUUUUCAGCUUUCACAAGACGAAAACCUUAUCAUUCGUAGUGGCUUUAACUAAUAUCCAACUCUUUCUAAUAAAUAUACACUUCUCGUUCAGACUAUUUACUCUUUUAUCAGUACAAAAAUGAAAUUAUAUUAUCAGACUUGAGAAAAAUAAUCCUGACAUAAUUGUCACAUGAAAUCUUUCAAAUAAAUAAUUCACCAUACCGAUUGAAACUCGCGCUUUUAUCACCUAUGCCUUUACUGAUGUCAAAUCCUUACACAGAAAUUAGAAGAAAAAUCCUAAUACUAAAAUCACCACAUUACCAAGAUCAAAUUAGAAGUAUAGUCAUAUUUGACAUGAUUAUCACGAGCUGAAGAACGUACUUCGAACAUAAGUCAUAAUUGACAAAUUAUCGAACAAAGAUAACAAGAAAACCGAAUAAAGAAAUCCAAGAUACGAUAUUAUGCCGGAGAAUCGAAAACCAAAAUCAUAGAGAAAAUACAGAAUACCCCGAUAAUUCUUCAAAGAAAGAAAGUCCAAAAGAAAACAUCAUUUAAUCCCACUGGAAUCAAAUAUAACAAGAACAAUAUAUCUUCCCAUACAUAUAUAUCAGAUGAAGCAUCAAGUAGAAGAAAUAGAAUCAUAAUAUCAUAUGUAUUCUCUCAUCAAUUCUUAUCAGACCAAAUGGAAUAGAAUACCCGAUGAAAUAGAGCAAUAUAAAUUAUAAACCAGUCAGACUACCAAUGCUUUCAUCCAACACCAGAAUUAGAAGACAUUCCCAUAUAACAAGAAUUUCUUCAAAAGAUCAAUAGCCAUAGAAAUGUUUCUGAGAACGGGUAAACACAUAGAACAUCUCAAAAAAGACUGCUAAAUCUGUCCAGUCAUAACUGUCACACUCAGAUAGUUCACAAUUCAAAUAUCAUUUCCCCAACUAGUUCUGCCAUCACAAAUUUCAUAUUAAACCAUUCACUAAAGAAGGUCAGUUCUGAAUAAAUUUUGAUUUACACUUUUCUCGACCUUGCACCUGAGUAUCGAUUUACCAAAGAGAAUUUCCUUCUCUAACUGGGACAGUGCAUAAUUCCAAUAAUCUUUAUAUCAAUCCGAUACUUUACUGACUCUGACUUUACUUAUCAGCUCAUUUUCAAUCUCUGAUCAUACUUAUAAUUAUUCUAUCACUGAACUCUUUGGGUUCUCAACCGGAAACUUAUUCAAUACAAAUCUCAUGAAAUUCCAUUAUAAGUACCACUUCGGUAAGGGGGAGGGGUUGUAGGACCUCUGACUCGACUUUCUUAUACAUACACAUAUGACACAACUUCCAUCAUCAUAGCAACAUCAUCAAUGCAACAUUCAUGUUGGCUUACACAAAUUUUCCUAUUGUCCCAUUUAGAAAAUAUACUUAUGCAUACAUUCUAUGUUUUCUAGAUAGCUUUACUUAUCCAUUCAUUUAAUUAAAUUAAUUCAUGCUCAUGACAUCAUAUAAGGCCAAACAAACAUAGAUAUUUGCAUCACAAUCACAACUUUCAUUUCAUGCAUCAUCAUGUACAUAUCAUUACAAUCAUAUAAUUCAGUCCAAUAAUUUAACAUAUAUAAGUUCAUUUCAUUAUAAUCAUUUAUCUCAUAAAAAUUAUAUAUCAUUAGCAUUCAUCAACAUUCGACGUCCAAAUCAAGACAAUGACAUUUUCAUUCAUAUCAUAAUAUUAUGACUUUUAUUCAUACCUCUACUACUUUCUAUUUAUUCCAUUCAUCUUAUCAAGUAAGCCAUAUACACUACAUCAUAUGAGCAUUAAGCAAGUAUGGAUAUUUAUCACAUAUGUAUCAUAAACUUUUAUUCAUUCAUAAACUUUUAUUCAUACUUUUCUGAACCGAGACUUUUCAUAAUCAUAAUUUUACUCAAAUACCUUCACAUAACAUUGAACAUGGUCGUCGCAGCUCGGUUAGAGAGUACCUUGUCUAAAUAAGACGGUACUCAUACGCGUCGGAAGACAUCACACUAUCACAGAUCAGUGGCAUGUAUAGCUAAAAUUUUACACAUGCUAAGUUAGUCCGAGAACCGACUAAACCUGCUCUGAUACCACCAAAUUUAACGCCCCAUACCCGAGACCGUCGCCAGAGUCGAACACGAGGUGUUAACAGACUUAAUUCAUUACUUAAACAGCUCAAACAAUUUAUUUUUAAAAUUUUCAGUCAAGCUAGCAAUCUGCGUCACAGUCGCUUAAAAAUUCAUAUCUCGAGUUCCAAAACUCGAAAUCCAAUUCCGUAAAUUUUACCUAAAACUAUACUCAUAUAUCUAUUUACUAAUUUUUUUUAUAUAAUUUUUGGUCUAGCAAAUUAGUACAAUUUAUUAGUUAAAUUCUCCCCUAUUUCAGGGUUCGACUUCUCUGACCUCUGUGUAUUACGAAUAAGAUAUCUCCUUGUACAGAGCUUCAAUGACUAUAACGUUUGUUUCUAAUAAAACUAGACUCAAUAAGGAAUCUGUACAUAUAUAUCAUGACUAAUAAUUAUCUUUGAAAAAUUUAUGGUGAAUUUCCAAAGUCAUAACAGGGGAUCCAGAAAUCGCUCUGAACCUGUUUCACAAAAAUUUAAACAUCUCAUAAAAUAUAACUCAUAUACCUG